rnacentral:rRNA from 1 species
AUGGUUAGGCCGGCUAUAGUGUGCCUACAGGAGACAAAAGUCGAACACUUGACCGUGGACAUUGUUCGGCACUGCCCGGGAAUUAAUCUAGAGAACUAUUUCUACUUGCCGGCGACCGGAACGAGGGGUGGAAUCCUUCUGGCUUGGGAUGAGACAAUUGUCGGGCUCUCCAACCCGCAUCCCACCAUGAACACGAUAACUGCUCUGGUUAAACCCAAGAACGGUGGGCAUUGGUGGUUCACCUGUGUGUAUGGCCCGCAGACAGACAUGGACAAGGUCGCAUUCAUGCAAGAGUUGGUAGACGUGCGUGAGUUACAUGCGGGCCCGUGGGCAAUCAUGGGUGACUUUAACCUGCUGGUAAGCCCUCAAGACAAGAACAACGAUGUGAUCAAUAGGCGAAUGAUAGCCAGGUUCAGAAACAAGGCGAACCAACUGGAAGUGAAAGAGAUGUACCUCAACGGCCGCAAGUUCACCUGGUCUAACGAACGGCAGCGCCCAACCAUGGAGAAAAUAGACCACGUGUUCACAACGAACUGCUGGGACGAUGCCUACCCAGCUGCUCUGCUCACUGCCAUGGGAUCGGCGGUCUCGGACCACUGUCCGCUCCUCCUGGACAUCAACGCAUACUUUGCAUACGGGAAGCGCUUCAGAUUCGAGUCCUUUUAG